GAUGAACGCUGGCGGCGUGCCUAAUACAUGCAAGUCGAGCGAACAGACGAGGAGCUUGCUCCUCUGACGUUAGCGGCGGACGGGUGAGUAACACGUGGAUAACCUACCUAUAAGACUGGGAUAACUUCGGGAAACCGGAGCUAAUACCAGAUAAUAUAUUGAACCGCAUGGUUCAAUAGUGAAAGACGGUUUUGCUGUCACUUAUAGAUGGAUCCGCGCCGCAUUAGCUAGUUGGUAAGGUAACGGCUUACCAAGGCAACGAUGCGUAGCCGACCUGAGAGGGUGAUCGGCCACACGGGAACUGAGACACGGUCCAGACUCCUACGGGAGGCAGCAGUAGGGAAUCUUCCGCAAUGGGCGAAAGCCUGACGGAGCAACGCCGCGUGAGUGAUGAAGGUCUUCGGAUCGUAAAACUCUGUUAUUAGGGAAGAACAAAUGUGUAAGUAACUAUGCACGUCUUGACGGUACCUAAUCAGAAAGCCACGGCUAACUACGUG
rnacentral:rRNA from 1 species